UACGUAGGGUGCAAGCGUUGUCCGGAAUUAUUGGGCGUAAAGAGCUCGUAGGCGGUUUGUCGCGUCUGCUGUGAAAACUCGGGGCUUAACCCCGGGCCUGCAGUGGGUACGGGCAGACUAGAGUGCAGUAGGGGAGACUGGAAUUCCUGGUGUAGCGGUGAAAUGCGCAGAUAUCAGGAGGAACACCAAUUGCGAAGGCAGCUCGCUGGGACGUUACUGACGCUGAGACGCGAAAGCGUGGGGAGCAAACAGG
rnacentral:rRNA from 1 species